rnacentral:rRNA from 1 species
AGAGUUUGAUCCUGGCUCAGAGUCAACGCUGGCGGCGCGCUUAACACAUGCAAGUCGCACGAGAAAGGGGAGCAAUCCCUGAGUAAAGUGGCGCACGGGUGAGUAACACGUGGAUCAUCUACCUUCGAGUGGGGAAUACCCCCGGGAAACUGGGGACAAUACCGCAUAAGCUCGCGAGAGGAAAGCCGAAAGGCGCUGGAAGAGGGGUCCGCGGCUGAUUAGCUAGAUGGUGAGGUAACGGCCCACCAUGGCGAAGAUCGGUAGCCGGCCUGAGAGGGCACACGGCCACACUGGCACUGAAACACGGGCCAGACUCCUACGGGAGGCAGCAGUGGGGAAUCUUGCACAAUGGGGGAAACCCUGAUGCAGCGACGCCGCGUGAGCGAUGAAGCCCUUCGGGGUGUAAAGCUCUUUCGACGGGAACGAUAAUGACGGUACCCGAAGAAGAAGCUGCGGCUAACUACGUGCCAGCAGCCGCGGUAAUACGUAGGCAGCAAGCGUUGUUCGGAAUUACUGGGCGUAAAGAGUGUGUAGGCUGUUCUCUAAGUCUGUCGUGAAAUCUCCCGGCCUAACUGGGAGGGUGCGGCGGAAACUGGAGUGCUAGAGGGUGG